GACGAACGCUGGCGGCGUGCUUAACACAUGCAAGUCGAACGGAAAGGCCCUGCUUUUGUGGGGUGCUCGAGUGGCGAACGGGUGAGUAACACGUGAGUAACCUGCCCUUGUCUUUGGGAUAACUUCAGGAAACUGGGGCUAAUACCGGGUAGGAGCUCCUGCUGCAUGGUGGGGGUUGGAAAGUUUCGGCGGUUGGGGAUGGACUCGCGGCUUAUCAGCUUGAUGGUGGAGUAGUGGCUUACCAAGGCUUUGACGGGUAGCCGGACUGAGAGGGUGACCGGGCACAUCGCGACUGAAGUACGACCCAGACGCCGACUGGAGGCAGCAGUGGGAAUUAUUACAAAAUGGGCGGAAGUCUGAUACAGCGACGUCGCGUGCGGGAUGACGGCCUUCGGGUUUUAAACCGCUUUCGCCUGGGACGAAGCGUGAGUGAAGUUAAUGGGUAAAGAAGCACCGGCUAACUACGUG
rnacentral:rRNA from 1 species